UGGCCCUGCAGCUAGGACAGGCUGUUUUAGAUGAUCUUCUCAUUCCUUCUUAUUCCUUCGCUGGGGACACAUUGUUUGAUGUAGAUACAGUGCAGCGAAUCAUGAUGAAUUACCUACAAUCUGAAGAUGAAAAACAUUCAGCCUAUAAUGCAGAUGAUGAAUAUUUUUCUCCUUCCCAAAGUGAUAUUUAUGGGAUUGGAAAGCUAAUGGAGAACUACCUGGCUGAAGUAGCCACCGACAGAAAUUUAGUUGUUUCAAAAUUCAUCACUCUUGCUGAACUAAUUCCUCAACAAUCAAG
rnacentral:lncRNA from 1 species